rnacentral:rRNA from 1 species
AGUGGCGGACGGGUGAGUAACGCGUAAGAAUCUAACUUCAGGACGGGGACAACAGUGGGAAACGACUGCUAAUACCCGAUGUGCCGCGAGGUGAAACCUAAUUGGCCUGAAGAAGAGCUUGCGUCUGAUUAGCUAGUUGGUGGGGUAAGAGCCUACCAAGGCGACGAUCAGUAGCUGGUCUGAGAGGAUGAGCAGCCACACUGGGACUGAGACACGGCCCAGACUCCUACGGGAGGCAGCAGUGGGGAAUUUUCCGCAAUGGGCGAAAGCCUGACGGAGCAACGCCGCGUGAGGGAGGAAGGUCUUUGGAUUGUAAACCUCUUUUCUCAAGGAAGAAGUUCUGACGGUACUUAAGGAAUCAGCCUCGGCUAACUCCGUGCCAGCAGCCGCGGUAAUACGGGGGAGGCAAGCGUUAUCCGGAAUUAUUGGGCGUAAAGCGUCCGCAGGUGGUCAGCCAAGUCUGCCGUCAAAUCAGGUUGCUUAACGACCUAAAGGCGGUGGAAACUGGCAGACUAGAGAGCAGUAGGGGUAGCAGGAAUUCCCAGUGUAGCGGUGAAAUGCGUAGAGAUUGGGAAGAACAUCGGUGGCGAAAGCGUGCUACUGGGCUGUAUCUGACACUCAGGGACGAAAGCUAGGGGAGCGAAAGGGAUUAGAUACCCCUGUAGUCCUAGCCGUAAACGAUGGAUACUAGGCGUGGCUU